UACGUAGGGACCGAGCGUUGUCCGGAAUCAUUGGGCGUAAAGAGCGUGUAGGCGGCCACUUAAGUCCUGCGUGAAAUCUUGCGGCUCAACCGCAAGCGGUCGUGGGAAACUGGGUGGCUAGAGUGCGGGAGAGGAGAGUGGAAUUCCUGGUGUAGCGGUGGAAUGCGCAGAUAUCAGGAAGAACACCCGUGGCGAAGGCGGCUCUCUGGACCAAUUCUGACGCUGAGGAGCGAAAGCCAGGGGAGCAAACGGG
rnacentral:rRNA from 1 species